rnacentral:rRNA from 1 species
CCUACGGGUGGCAGCAGUGGGGAAUAUUGGACAAUGGGGGGAACCCUGAUCCAGCCAUGCCGCGUGUGUGAAGAAGGCCCUCGGGUUGUAAAGCACUUUCAGUGAGGAAGAACGCCUGGUGGUUAAUACCCAUCAGGAAAGACAUCACUCACAGAAGAAGCACCGGCUAACUCCGUGCCAGCAGCCGCGGUAAUACGGAGGGUGCGAGCGUUAAUCGGAAUUACUGGGCGUAAAGCGCGCGUAGGUGGCUUGAUAAGCCGGUUGUGAAAGCCCCGGGCUCAACCUGGAAACGGCAUCCGGAACUGUCAAGCUAGAGUGCAGGAGAGGAAGGUAGAAUUCCCGGUGUAGCGGUGAAAUGCGUAGAGAUCGGGAGGAAUACCAGUGGCGAAGGCGGCCUUCUGGACUGACACUGACACUGAGGUGCGAAAGCGUGGGUAGCAAACAGGAUUAGAUACCCGAGUAGUC